ACAUUGACCCUGGGCACCGCAUGUGUAGCAUAGGUGGGAGGCGUUGAACCGGGGCCGCUAGGUCUCGGGGAGCCGACGUUGAAAUACCACCCUUGCGUUGCUUGGGGCCUAAUCUCGGACGACGGGAAACAGUGUCUGGUGGGUAGUUUGACUGGGGUGGUCGCCUCCAAAAGUGUAUCGGAGGCUUUCAAAGGUCCGCUCAAUCCGCUUGGUAACCGGAUGCAGAGCGCAAUAGCAGAAGCGGGCUUGACUGUGAGGCGUACAGGCCGAGCAGGGUCGAAAGACGGAUAUAGUGAUCCGGUGGUUCCGCAUGGAAGGGCCAUCGCUCAAAGGAUAAAAGGUACGCCGGGGAUAACAGGCUGAUCUCCCCCAAGAGCUCAUAUCGACGGGGAGGUUUGGCACCUCGAUGUCGGCUCGUCACGUCCUGGGGCUGGAGAAGGUCCCAAGGGUUCGGCUGUUCGCCGAUUAAAGUGGCACGCGAGCUGGGUUCAGAACGUCGUGAGACAGUUCGGUCCCUAUCUGUGGCGGGCGUUGGAAUGUUGACAGGACCUGACCUUAGUACGAGAGGACCGGGUUGGACCAGCCGCUGGUGUACCAGUUGUGCCGCCAGGUGCAGCGCUGGGUAGCUACGCUGGGUCGAGAUAAGCGCUGAAAGCAUCUAAGUGCGAAACUCACCUGAAGAUGAGCAUUCCGUUCAAGAAGGUCCGUGGUAGAUCACCACGUCGAUAGGCCGCAGGUCUUAAGCCGGAGACGGCCAGCCGAGCGGUACUAAUGAACCGAACGCUUCCGAAUA
rnacentral:ncRNA from 1 species